rnacentral:rRNA from 1 species
ACACGGAGGUUGCGAGCGUUGUUCGGAAUCACUGGGCGUAAAGCGGGUGUAGGCGGUCUAGCAAGUCAGAUGUGAAAGUCCAGGGCUCAACCCUGGAAGUGCAUCUGAAACUGUUAGACUUGAGUACUGGAGAGGGAAGUGGAAUUCCUGGUGUAGGGGUGAAAUCCGUAGAUAUCAGGAGGAACACCGGUGGCGAAGGCGACUUCCUGGACAGAUACUGACGCUCAGACCCGAAAGCGUGGGGAGCAAACAGGAUUAGAAACCCCAGUAGUCC